ACUACGGGUGGCAGCAGUGAGGAAUAUUGGUCAAUGGGCGGAAGCCUGAACCAGCCAAGUCGCGUGAGGGAUUAAGGCCCUGCGGGUCGUAAACCUCUUUUGCCGGGGAGCAGAGGUCCGGACGUGUCCGGGCCGGGAGAGUACCCGGAGAAAAAGCAUCGGCUAACUCCGUGCCAGCAGCCGCGGUAAUACGGGGGAUGCGAUGGUAAUCGGGAUUUAUGGGGUUUAAAGGGUGCGUAGGCGGGCAUUUAAGCCGACGGGCAAAUGUGGGGGCUCAACCCCGGGCUGCCGGCGGAACUGGGAGCCUUGAGUGGGCGAGAAGUAUGCGGAAUGCGUGGUGUAGCGGUGAAAUGCAUAGAUAUCACGCAGAACCCCGAUUGCGAAGGCAGCAUACCGGCGCCCAACUGACGCUGAAGCACGAAAGCGUGGGUAUCGAACAGGAUUAGAUACCCGUGUAGUC
rnacentral:rRNA from 1 species